UGCAAGUCGAGGGGUAACAUAAAGUGCUUGCACUUUGAUGACGACCGGCGCACGGGUGAGUAACGCGUAUACAAUCUGCCUCAUACUAGGGGAUAGCCCAGAGAAAUUUGGAUUAAUACCCUAUAGUAUCAUUUAGAGUCAUCUCUUUAUGAUUAAAGGUUACGGUAUGAGAUGAGUAUGCGUUCUAUUAGUUAGUAGGUGAGGUAACGGCUCACCUAGACCACGAUAGAUAGGGGCCCUGAGAGGGGGAUCCCCCACACUGGUACUGAGACACGGACCAGACUCCUACGGGAGGCAGCAGUGAGGAAUAUUAGACAAUGGGCGAAAGCCUGAUCUAGCCAUGCCGCGUGCAGGAUGACGGCCCUAUGGGUUGUAAACUGCUUUUAUACAGGAAGAAAAAACUCUACGUGUAGAGUCUUGACGGUACUGUAAGAAUAAGGAUCGGCUAACUCCGUGCCAGCAGCCGCGGUAAUACGGAGGAUCCAAGCGUUAUCCGGAAUUAUUGUGUUUAAAGGGUCCGUAGGUGGACAAUUAAGUCAGAGGUGAAAUCCUGCAGCUCAACUGUAGAAUUGCCUUUGAAACUGGUUGUCUUGAGUCAUUAUGAAGUGGUUAGAAUGUGUAGUGUAGCGGUGAAAUGCAUAGAUAUUACACAGAAUACCAAUUGCGAAGGCAGAUCACUAAUAAUGUACUGACACUGAUGGACGAAAGCGUGGGUAGCGAACAGGAUUAGAUACCCUGGUAGUCCACGCCGUAAACGAUGGUCACUAGCUGUUCGGACUUCGGUCUGAGUGGCUAAGCGAAAGUGAUAAGUGACC
rnacentral:rRNA from 1 species